rnacentral:rRNA from 1 species
AACGAACGCUGGCGGCAUGCCUAACACAUGCAAGUCGAACGAAGGCUUCGGCCUUAGUGGCGCACGGGUGCGUAACGCGUGGGAAUCUGCCCUUAGGUUCGGAAUAACAGCUGGAAACGGCUGCUAAUACCGGAUGAUGACGAAAGUCCAAAGAUUUAUCGCCUGAGGAUGAGCCCGCGUUGGAUUAGGUAGUUGGUGGGGUAAAGGCCUACCAAGCCGACGAUCCAUAGCUGGUCUGAGAGGAUGAUCAGCCACACUGGGACUGAGACACGGCUCAGACUCCUACGGGAGGCAGCAGUGGGGAAUAUUGGACAAUGGGCGAAAGCCUGAUCCAGCAAUGCCGCGUGAGUGAUGAAGGCCCUAGGGUUGUAAGGCUCUUUUACCCGGGAAGAUAAUGACUGUACCGGGAGAAUAAGCCCCGGCUAACUCCGUGCCAGCAGCCGCGGUAAUACGGAGGGGGCUAGCGUUGUUCGGAAUUACUGGGCGUAAAGCGCACGUAGGCGGCUUUGUAAGUCAGAGGUGAAAGCCUGGAGCUCAACUCCAGAACUGCCUUUGAGACUGCAUCGCUUGAAUCCAGGAGAGGUCAGUGGAAUUCCGAGUGUAGAGGUGAAAUUCGUAGAUAUUCGGAAGAACACCAGUGGCGAAGGCGGCUGACUGGACU